GUCGUGAGAUGUUGGGUUAAGUCCCGCAACGAGCGCAACCCUUAUCCUAUGUUGCCAGCACGUAAUGGUGGGGACUCGUAGGAGACUGCCGGGGUCAACUCGGAGGAAGGUGGGGAUGAGGUCAAGUCAUCAUGCCCCUUAUGUCCAGGGCUGCAAACAUGCUACAAUGGCCGGUACAAAGGGCUGCUAUACCGCGAGGUUGAGCGAAUCCCAAAAAGCCGGUCUCAGUUCGGAUUGGAGUCUGCAACUCGACUCCAUGAAGCCGGAGUCGCUAGUAAUCCCGGAUCAGCAACGCCGGGGUGAAUACGUUCCCGGGCCUUGUACACACCGCCCGUCACACCACGAAAGUUGGUAACACCCGAAGCCAGUGGCCCAACCCUUUGGGAGGGAGCUGUCGAGGGUGGGAUCAGCGAUUGGGGUGAAGUCGUAACAAGGUAGCCGUACCGGAAGGUGCGGCUGGAUCACCUCCUUUCUAAGGAGUCAUUGUCACUGCACAACGCAGCGACGACUUCCAGUUGAGGCACUAGCUAUUCGUCCGUCGUCUCGGUUCGUUGAUCGUAGGUAACCCUCUCAACGUCUCGGCACGCCGGCCGUCGUCCUCUGUUCCGCUUUGAAGGAGCGCCCCGAAGCCCCCGCCUUGUAGCGGGGGCUUCGUCAUGCACUCGUUCGCGUCGAUCUGGUCCGCCCAGCUCUCGACGCACGACGCCCCUUGAAAACUGCAUAGCGAGCACGAGCAUCUUUGUUCUUCCAAGCUACAAAGAGCCAACGGUGGAUGCCUUGGCGUCUACUACCGAUGAAGGACGUGGGCGACUGCGAUAAGCCACGGGGAGGUGUCUACCAACCUUUGAUCCGUGGAUGU
rnacentral:sRNA from 1 species